rnacentral:rRNA from 1 species
CCUACGGGUGGCUGCAGUGGGGAAUAUUGGACAAUGGGGGGAACCCUGAUCCAGCCAUGCCGCGUGUGUGAAGAAGGCCCUCGGGUUGUAAAGCACUUUCAGUGAGGAAGAACGCCUGGUGGUUAAUACCCAUCAGGAAAGACAUCACUCACAGAAGAAGCACCGGCUAACUCCGUGCCAGCAGCCGCGGUAAUACGGAGGGUGCGAGCGUUAAUCGGAAUUACUGGGCGUAAAGCGCGCGUAGGUGGCUUGAUAAGCCGGUUGUGAAAGCCCCGGGCUCAACCUGGGAACGGCAUCCGGAACUGUCAAGCAAGAGUGCAGGAGAGGAAGGUAGAAUUCCCGGUGUAGCGGUGAAAUGCGUAGAGAUCGGGAGGAAUACCAGUGGCGAAGGCGGCCUUCUGGACUGACACUGACACUGAGGUGUGAAAGCGUGGGUAGCAAACAGGAUUAGAUACCCUAGUAGUC